CCUACGGGGGGCUGCAGUGAGGAAUAUUGGUCAAUGGGCGGAAGCCUGAACCAGCCAAGUAGCGUGAAGGAUGACGGCCCUACGGGUUGUAAACUGCUUUUAUACGGGAAUAACGCGCCUUUCGUGUAGGGCUUUGCAUGUACCGUAUGAAUAAGGACCGGCUAAUUCCGUGCCAGCAGCCGCGCUAAUACGGAAGGUCCGGGCGUUAUCCGGAUUUAUUGGUGUUAAAGGGAGCGUAGGCCGAUUGUCAUGCGUGUUGGGAAAUGUCCGGGCGCAACCCGGGCAUUGCAGAGCGUACUGGCGUGCUGGAGUCCGCGGAAGGCAGGCGGAAUUCGUGGUGUAGCGGUGAAAUGCUUAGAUAUGACGAAGAACCCCGAUGGCGAAGGCAGCUUGCUGCAGCGGAACUGACGCUGAUGCUCGAAAGCGCGGGUAUCGAACAGGAUUAGAUACCCUUGUAGUC
rnacentral:rRNA from 1 species